UACGUAGGGGGGCAAGCGUUGUCCGGAAUUAUUGGGCGUAAAGAGCGCGUAGGCGGUCCGAUAAGUCGGCUGUGAAAGUCAGGGGCUCAACCCUUGAAAGCCGGCCGAUACUGUCGGACUAGAGUCCGGAAGAGGCAAGUGGAAUUCCCGGUGUAGCGGUGAAAAUGCGCAGAUAUCGGGAGGAACACCAAUGGCGAAGGCAGCUUGCUGGGACGGUACUGACGCUGAGGCGCGAAAGCGUGGGGAGCAAACAGG
rnacentral:rRNA from 1 species